rnacentral:rRNA from 1 species
UGGGGAAUAUUGGACAAUGGGCGCAAGCCUGAUCCAGCCAUGCCGCGUGAGUGAUGAAGGCCCUAGGGUUGUAAAGCUCUUUCACCGGUGAAGAUAAUGACGGUAACCGGAGAAGAAGCCCCGGCUAACUUCGUGCCAGCAGCCGCGGUAAUACGAAGGGGGCUAGCGUUGUUCGGAUUUACUGGGCGUAAAGCGCACGUAGGCGGACUAUUAAGUCAGGGGUGAAAUCCCGGGGCUCAACCCCGGAACUGCCUUUGAUACUGGUAGUCUUGAGGUCGAGAGAGGUGAGUGGAAUUCCGAGUGUAGAGGUGAAAUUCGUAGAUAUUCGGAGGAACACCAGUGGCGAAGGCGGCUCACUGGCUGGAUACUGACGCUGAGGUGCGAAAGCGUGGGGAGCAAACAGG